GCACGGAGUCGGCAUCCACCUCCUGCACGGAGCCACCACCGUGGCCUUUGGGGAGACUGAAAUGGUGAAACCCUACAGCUUUCAGAGAUCUAGGAAGGAGCACCAUGACCAAACAGGCCUGGGCAUCUCAGGAGUACAAGCAGAUCGCUUUGAGGAAGCAGGGACCACAAAGCCACUGAGCACUGUCACUGGUGGGAGAGCCCAUCUUGUACCGAUCAACUGGUUUGUGAGGCUUCUGCACAAGCACAGCAUCUCUGCUUUCCUGGUUACAAGUGCACAGUCCCCAGAU